rnacentral:rRNA from 1 species
UACGUAGGGUGCAAGCGUUGUCCGGAAUUAUUGGGCGUAAAGAGCUCGUAGGCGGUCUGUCGCGUCUGCUGUGAAAACUCAGGGCUUAACCCUGAGCUUGCAGUGGGUACGGGCAGACUAGAGUGCGGUAGGGGAGACUGGAAUUCCCGGUGUAGCGGUGAAAUGCGCAGAUAUCGGGAGGAACACCAGUAGCGAAGGCGGCUCUCUGGGCCGGUACCGACGCUGAGGAGCGAAAGCUAGGGGAGCGAACAGG